UACGGGGGGGGCAAGCGUUGUUCGGAAUUACUGGGCGUAAAGGGUUCGUAGGUGGCCAAUUAAGUCAGACGUGAAAUCCCUCGGCUUAACCGGGGAACUGCGUCUGAUACUGGAUGGCUUGAGUUCGGGAGAGGGAUGCGGAAUUCCAGGUGUAGCGGUGAAAUGCGUAGAUAUCUGGAGGAACACCGGUGGCGAAGGCGGCAUCCUGGACCGAUACUGACACUGAGGAGCGAAAGCCAGGGGAGCAAACGGG
rnacentral:rRNA from 1 species